rnacentral:rRNA from 1 species
UUUGGUGACUAUAGCGAUGGUGUUCACCUCUUACCAUUUCGAACAGAGAAGUUAAGCCCAUCAGCGCUAAUGGUACUGCUAAGGCGGGAGAGUAGGUCGUUGCCAAUC